rnacentral:lncRNA from 1 species
AGCUGCUCCGCGCAUUAAGAAGAAAGGACUCACGAACGGACCAUUUCGGCUCGACAGCGGAAGAGAAGAAGCUUCUGUAAUGAAAUGUGAAGAUCCAACUGUCCGGUGCUAUCGUAACAUCGCUAUCGAAGGCACAGAUGCCUUCGCCCUACCCACCGUACAAUUCGACGUGCCCACUUCUGUUUUCGAACUUUCAAACAUCAUAAGACCAGAAAACCUAUCUAUCUUCAAAUCGCCUACAAACUGCAGUUUCGAGAAGUCUUUUCUUAACGUUAUCUAUAAAAGGAGAGAACCACAUUGUACUUAGGCCUCUAAAGCAGAUAACAUUAAAGUGUAUACAUUAAUUUCAGGUGAACAAAAUGCUCACCGACUUUUUGCUGAAAGCUUACAAAUGUGGGCUAAUGCGGGUAGGGCCUCGAGAAACAGUGCUCGUAUGUUUUCGAGGACCGAAAUUAGGGUCAACUGAGUAACAUACAUCCGGUGUACGAUUCUCAUCGAUUCCCGUUUCAGCUGAACAUGCCACACACGUAGGAUCCAAAUGUCCUUUAAAAGGCAACAUCUUCCAGACAUUUGAUGUUUUUAGCGAACAAAGGCCUGAAUAUACACACAUCGAGCUGUCAUACAGACCUUGGCGUAUGUCCUUUGAUUUCGAAGAAGCUACGCGGCGUUCAGUGUACGUAUGGCGUGCGACAUAGAUUUCUUGGCAAGAUGUCGGCUAAGGCAGCAGGGAUAUGGCAGCUGACUGAAUUAGUUAGAAGUAAAGAUAUGUUUGACGUGAUGUUUAACCUGUGAGAGAGCCGAGAGGGAUGGCGCAUGUCCAACAACAGGUGAGGAGGAUCUAACAGAGUGAUGGAAUACACAACACGACCCUACUGGUGACCUGCUAAGGAAACGGUAGGUCAUGAUAAGGCGGCGCCAUCACGAUCCACUAAUCCCAGGCACAGCAGACCUUUCAUGCUCAGAGAUUGCUAAAUCGUCUUCAUCCGCCUGCGUGACCCUGUUUGAAUAUUUAUUGAAGUCCGUUAUUGUAAGGUUGAACCCUAUCGACUCGAAUAUUCAUGCAGAAGCCGUACUUUCCAUGGCGCAACGAAGAAGGACCGAUACGAAUUUAUUUCAGAUAUGUAAAACAGACAUUUUAAUCUACCACAUGUAAAUGCACACCAUUGCUAUAGGCUCAAUUACAUAAUUCACAGCACAGAUUUAGGAAACGGUUUAAUCAGUCAUAAAACAAUUCAGCAAAUCGGCAACUAUUAUAUAUUUAGUACGAUUCUAUUUCCGUAGAAAUUUAAAAGUAAGAUUAAGCUUUACUGGGAAAGCGGGAAUAAGAUAGAAGCCCCUCAGAGUAAAAGAUUUCACUUGUUCUCAUGGUGACAUAAUCUAUAUAACCAAGAUAGAGCAAGGUAUAGCGUUCCCACUAAAGCCGGCUCGCUCGCUCGCUCGCUCGCUCACUCACUCACUCACUCACUCACUCACUCACUCGUAAAAUUGCCGCCUUGCGCCUUCAACACGUGUCCCAAAUACCCCCUCACUUGCCCCGCCUUCGUUUUCACUUGGCCGCUUACACGCAAAUGCCAAAGGAAAUGACAAAGUCCUAAACGGUAGAAAAGGCUAACGAAGUAGCGAUUCUCAAGAGACUUGCCAGGAGGACUGUGUCAAGCUGGGUCAAUGAUAGCCAAUCAACGCAGCGGACUGACUGACUGACUGACUGACUAGCAGAAGAAUCAACAAUCUCGGACGAGGGUGCCAAAGUCAACAGAACAUGCCACUGAAAUAGAAGCGAUUGAGGGAUAAAGCGGGCAUCCAAGCAAUAUGAUAAGCCAAUCAGCGACCCAUUCUUGUGGAAAAACAGCCGUAUGUGUCAGCAAAUGAACAUUAAGUGCGUCGUUUGGUAGUGAGUAAAGACGCUGCAAUAAACGAUGAACAGCGCCAUGGAAACGACGAGUUUUAAACAGGCAAGACAAAAAAAAUCUCUAAUUGCCAACGCCAUAGAGUUAAUUGAGAAACAAGACUUUUCAAAACAGGCCAUUGAGAGCCUGCUGUGUUUGUAUUUCUGUAAAUCAAAAGCGUGUUCGACUUCCAGCUGGGAAACAAACAAAUCAUUUAUAAUUCAAUAAAAUGCGUUGGUAAAGCUUCGAUUAGGUCAGCUUUUUCAGCUAUCACCUAUCCUACAAUAGAAAUGCAUGUGAAUUUUUCCGCUAGGGGAUCUUAAUGGCUUUUAGUCGUUCCCGUAAGCGUAUACCCCUUUUUCUAGACGUAAGGCAUUUUGUAUCAACUACUACAUUUUACGAACAAAUUGUUGAAUAACGCACAGUCACUCCAGCUGAUUACCAGACCGGAAGUCGCUUUAUUAAAGCGAUCGUGAGAUUCAAAGAAGGCGGCAAUAAAAAUAGUGGGAAUAAUACUUGCAGCCACAUCUAUACGACAAAACGUCUUGAUCAAAUGGUUAAGUGUCAAAUAAUUUUUGAGGCACAAAUCAUCUAAAAAUGACAUAGACGACUAUGCAUAAGAUACAUGUUAUAUAUAUAUAUAUAUAUAUAUAUAAAUUACGUAUCAUAUAAUAUUUAUAUAUUUAAUAACAGUAUUACAUGAAGACGCCACAUUCUGUCGAACGAAUGUCUCAAGGGAAUACACUUGAAGCAAAUCGCUUGAACAGCUCAAUUGUAGCGAGGGGGUAGACAGAUCUCCGACGAUCAACGAAGAAUAUGAAGUUCUGAGGGUCGUCCACACAUUCUAUCAGAAGUGGCGGCACGUGCAAAGCGUCCCGCCUCUGGUGAUGUAAGCGUGUGGUACGGAUACCGCGUUGCCGCGGAUACCGAGUUCAUUGAGAUCAUCGCGACCUGGCUAACUCUGAUAGCUACACCUCAGUGCGUCCAGCAGGUCGGGCGACAAGCCUGAGCUGAAGAGCUGAGAUUAGCUUGAUAGUUUCGUCGCCAGCGACGUCGUACAGAGCGCUUACCCGGAACCCCAGCCAUCUCCCUCGUAUCCUGCUGUCGUCAUAAUGCGCUGCCGCGGUUCUUCGGCUCCGCCCCAUCCUUCGCGGCGCACUCGACCCCUCUGACGGCGCGGCCAAAGGACGGGAGACCCGAGAGAUACACUCCCCAAGUGAGAGCUUACCGCCAAAGUUGACUUUACACUGAACGCUGGAAUAGGGAGCACUACGCCUACCGGCAGCUUUGGCCAGAUUCGCUGCCAGACUGACCGGCAUUGUGCCAGUAACAGCACUCUUCUUUUCUGGGACAUCAGUUAGUGAUGGGGAAGCGAGAAAAUGGUGCCGUUGACACAGUUCCCUAAUUGUGGUAAUCGGUGGCACAAACGGCCCUGCCCAGUCCGACAACGCAGGCGACGAAUGGCGUACCAUCGUCAGUCAUGGACCGUACGGCCCCUGCUACCAUAGGUGUAAAUGACUGUCAAGUCAAGCGUUUCCUGGGAAAUCAAGUGGAUCAAGGAAGAAAUAAAACUGGCUUGACAAAACAGCAAGAUCCAGGGGAUUAGGAGCAACGUCCUUAUCCGUCAGAACACUCAGCAACUUACAAACAUAACGAGAAGAGUCGAAACUAGAAGCCAGGGCAAGUCAGAUAUCAACAAGACGAGACGGUGUGGAUUUUACGUGAACGUAUCAGUAAAGAAGUUUGAGUGUAAAUAUAAGGUUAAAUCUAUUGGCUGUGAACCAGAAAUGGAACUGAAUAAGAUAUGAGUAAAACUUUAACUUGUUACAGGAGGUGGAUGCGAACAUUUAGCUUAAUAGCGUCGCCGCCCGCGUAUAUUCGGGUCAUAUACUCGUCGGGGUCAUGUAAUAUAACUGAAUGUAACGUUUUUUCUUCACAAAAUGCAAUUUGCAUUUAGUCAGCUUUUGAAAAUGCAGCUUCGAAGCAGUCGAAACUGUUGUACAAACACAAAGCGGUUAUUUUACAUGUUUUUUUCCUUUAACAAAAGUUUAAUGAAAUGCGAAAAAAAAAACAAACGGUAGCUCAGCUUUUGGACUUUGGACAAAGGAAAAUCCCAGGAAGGAUGAAUUCUAUCCAGUUUUUGGCCCGUAUGCAUCUAACAGACUGGGAGACCCUGAGAUCUCUCGCAUCUAAAAUGAGCGUUUCGUUGCUAGAAACAACAAGGUGGUCUAUAUAAGUGUCUUUUUCCCCUAUAUAAGUGAUUUUUAUUUUCUCAUAAAUAGUGAAACUACAAGCAUAGAAUAUGACUCGUGCGUCACCAUGGUGCCUAGCAGUUCCAUACGUGUGUAGAAACUUUUCAUUUCAAUGGCAAAAUGCAUUCAAUAGAAUGGCCGUUUACUUGGUACGGAAGAACGCUAGCAAGGUUAAAUAAUAUUCCUAAAAAAUAGAGAUAUAACGUACAGAAAGUACAAUUGAUCAUCAUAGCCAUAUCGCAACCGGCUCUCGCUUAAACAUAGACGCAGUUCUUCUGUAUGUCUUGAGCAUCGAAUAAGAAUGAGCUAUGAUUACUGAGCUCUUAGUUUAAAAGAUGUUUCCGAAACGCACCUUAGCUCUCUGAUCGUGUUAAUAAAUACAUGUAAAGGUUUUCGGACGACUAGAUCCGUAUUUUGGUUAGAGGUCCGAAGACACAUUCGCGCGCUGCGAAUACCAGCCCCUUUCUAUUACACCAAACGCUUAACUAAUAGUAUAUAACCAGCCAUAACUAUAUGCUCGCCUUUAGUAUUACCUAAUAAAAUAAACAAGUGCCUGAAUAAAAUUCGAUUGGUUAGUCUCAAGCUUCAAGUAACGAACGUUUGUUAGCAACGUAUGUAUCUUCGAUAGGCAGUUAUUCUUUUGUUCAAUAAAAUAGUUGACUUUCGCCCCUUUAGCGCAAAGAAAAACACCGAAUUCAGCGGUUAAGCGAGCUUGGUCGAAUUGUUUCAUUUUGAUUUAACAAUAGUGCAUUAUAGAUGUA